CAAAGUGGAUAUGGCAUGAUAGUUGAACAAUUAGUGGCUAACGAAAGUGACAUACUGACAUGUUGGCAAACCCAUUAUUGUACGUACUUAUACGUAUACCAACAUGAAACACAUACAACCACGCAUAUAUAAUAACUUCAACAUGCAACACGGCGAAAAAAAUGUUCAAGAAAACAUUCCGGUGCUAGCUCUGCUAGAGUGCUAGUGCUGCACGUAGACGUCGAUCUCGACGAUGCCGCCGCGGGCGAGGUCGUAGUCGUAGUUCCUGGUGAGCAUGUACCCGCGCGCGAACCGAAACUUCCCCGUGCCGCCGAUGACCACCGACUCCCGCACCGUCGCGUCCAUGUCGAUGCGGCCGUUCGCCGUCACGGAGCUGCCCCGGUGCUCGCCGGCGUCGAGGACCAUGUGCAUGGUCAGGUGCGAUACGAUGCCGCCCUCCGACACGCGCACGGCGAACCCCUGCGCUGUGCCGACGCGGGCGCUGUCGCCGCCGGGACCCUCCGUCAGCGCGUUGUUCAGCACCACCACGUCGCCGAACUGCCGCGGCGACGAGAGCAGCCGUGACAGCGUGCUCCCGGUGGCUGUGGCGUUGCCGUCGCCGUCGCUGGACGACGCCAACGUGGGUAGGAGGGACCUGCCGGAGACGAUCCGCGCGGCGGUGGGUCGCGGGCCGGUGUAGUCGUCGUGCAUGAAGAAGUGGAGGUGCGUGGUGGAGGUGGCGGUGCUGCUGCCAACCGUGCCGGAGCUGCGGAUGUAGGCCGCGGCGGCGAGGAGGAAGGCGGCGCUGAGGAAGACGGAUGGGAGGGAAGCCAUCAUGAUCGAUGGGGGAUUGCUUGCUUGAGCCUUGAGGCUAAGGUUUUGCUUUCUGCCUUGAUGGUGUGUUUGCUCUGUUGCAUAUCCGUGCUUAUAU
rnacentral:lncRNA from 1 species